rnacentral:rRNA from 1 species
ACGCCUGGCGGCAGGCCUAACACAUGCAAGUCNNAGCGGUAACAGAAAGUAGCUUGCUACUUUGCUGACGAGCGGCGGACGGGUGAGUAAUGCCUGGGAAUAUGCCUUGAUGUGGGGGAUAACUAUUGGAAACGAUAGCUAAUACCGCAUAAUGUCUUCGGACCAAAGAGGGGGAUCUUCGGACCUCUCGCGUCAAGAUUAGCCCAGGUGAGAUUAGCUAGUUGGUGAGGUAAGAGCUCACCAAGGCGACGAUCUCUAGCUGGUCUGAGAGGAUGAUCAGCCACACUGGAACUGAGACACGGUCCAGACUCCUACGGGAGGCAGCAGUGGGGAAUAUUGCACAAUGGGCGAAAGCCUGAUGCAGCCAUGCCGCGUGUAUGAAGAAGGCCUUCGGGUUGUAAAGUACUUUCAGUCGUGAGGAAGGGUGUGUAGUUAAUAGCUGCAUAUCUUGACGUUAGCGACAGAAGAAGCACCGGCUAACUCCGUGCCAGCAGCCGCGGUAAUACGGAGGGUGCGAGCGUUAAUCGGAAUUACUGGGCGUAAAG